rnacentral:rRNA from 1 species
UACGUAGGCAGCGAGCGUUGUUCGGAAUUACUGGGCGUAAAGAGUGUGUAGGCGGUGCUCUAAGUUCGGUGUGAAAUCUCCUGGCUUAACUGGGAGGGUGCGCCGGAAACUGGGGUGCUCGAGCGUGGGAGAGGAAAGCGGAAUUCCUGGUGUAGCGGUGAAAUGCGUAGAUAUCAGGAGGAACACCUGUGGUGUAGACAGCUUUCUGGACCAUUGCUGACGCUGAGACACGAAAGCUAGGGGAGCAAACAGG